UUAAACUUGUAUUUUAAAAAAAGUAUAUUUUAAGAUAAACUUGUUAAAUUACGGAUAAAAUUCGUGUGACUCCUUUUCAAAAAUAAUUGCUUCCAUCCUGCCGACAUAAUUAUAUUUUAUUGAUAAAUAAUGAUAUUUUCUGAAUUACAAUUUUGUAUAUAAAUCAAUUAAUUAAACAGAGGGAUAAAAUGUAAGAAGUCAGAAUUUAAAAUAGCAUAAAAUUAAAAUUAAUUUCAAAAAAGUUUUGCGAUUUGGCAACACUAAAGAUAAAAAGGCGGAAAUUUUGAUUCAAAAUGGAAGAUCUAUCGAACUCUAAUCUUUCGACAUCGGUAAUUCAAGAGUUUAACGAGGCAGAAUACGAAGCUCAGUUUUUUGGCUUUCCUACUAGAGCAUUUACCGAUGGCAUGUAUAAUGCGAUUUAUGAUUACACUCGGAAUUCGCUGAGCGAAGUUCAAGAACAUCUCUCGCAGAAGUAUGGCGAUGUAAUGACAGAAGAAGAGAUUAAAGUCGGAUCAGAGUCUAUUCACCAACGUCUGACAGAAUACUUAAAUAAAGCCUUUGAUAAAUUAGAAGUAUAUUUAAUGGCAAAUGUUCUUCAUAUUCCUGAAAAUGUAAUUUUACCAGAAGAUUCUGUUCAUCAGAACUCUCAUUCUGUUGAAGAUCAUAACCAUCUCUCACAAGAAAUUGAAACAUUAAAACAGAAAAUAAUUCAAAAUCAACAAAAGAAAGCAAUUUUAAAACAAGAAUUAGAUGACCAAAUAGUUAUGAAAGAGAAAUUAAAAGAAUUUUCUGAUUAUUUAGACAAAAUGAAAGAAAUUGCUAAAUCUAAUGGAAUUGAGACAUUUAUGUUUGGAGUAAACAAAGCCAAUGAACUUGCUACUGCUGUCAUUUCAUUGGAACAAGCAUCGUUGAAGUAGAUAAAAUGAAAUAUUUUCCACUUCAUCAUCAGAAUUGUAUAAAUAAAACUCUUAUUUUAAAUAAUCACACGAAUCGAAGUCUAUGGGAGAUGAUUAAACUCGACUAAUAAGAAACGUUGG
rnacentral:misc_RNA from 1 species